CAAUGCAGAUUUCAUAGGCUAUUUGGAUUACACUUUUUUCCAAGGACAACAUUCUUUGUAUAUAUUUUAACACAACGUAUAUGCGAAAUGUGCAUCGAUAAAUAAAACAUACAGCAGAGAGAUUUUUUGUAAUGUCUGUAGUAUACAACCGUUUAAUUGCCAUACACAUUUAGUUUAGUAUACGUAGUCAAGCAUGCAUUUGUAUGCUUUUGUAUUACAUAUUAUUAGACCAAAAACUGAAAUGGGAAUGCUUGAAAUGUAAUUCCAAUUAAAACAGUUUAAUAAAGCAUGUGGAUUUUGCAAA
rnacentral:lncRNA from 1 species